rnacentral:rRNA from 1 species
UAUGGAGGGCGUAAGCGUUGUUCGGGAUUACUGGGCGUAAAUCGCGUGUAGGCGGCUUGGCAAGUCGGCUGUGAAAGCCCGGGGCUCAACCCCGGAGGGUCAGCCGAAACUGACCCGCUCGAGUCCCGGAGAGGGAGGCGGAAUUUCCGGUGUAGAGGUGAAAUUCGUAGAUAUCGGAAGGAACACCAGUGGCGAAGGCGGCCACCUGGACGGUGACUGACGCUGAGACGCUAAAGCCUCGCGAGCAAACAGG